GAGCGCAACACAUAGCCAGCCCUGCUGGCACUGACGUUACCUGCGGGUAGCUCGGGUAAUGAGGCUCCCUGCAUAGGGGGCCUUUUUUUACUUUUG
rfam:Escherichia coli ISC11, WGS project CBWP01000000 data, contig: c22